rnacentral:rRNA from 1 species
GUACCUAAAGUCGAUAACCGCUAAGGAGUCGCCUAGGGUAAAACUGGUAACUGGGGCU